rnacentral:rRNA from 1 species
UACGAAGGGGGCUAGCGUUGCUCGGAAUCACUGGGCGUAAAGGGUGCGUAGGCGGAUCGUUAAGUCGGGGGUGAAAUCCUGGAGCUCAACUCCAGAACUGCCUUCGAUACUGGCGAUCUCGAGUUCGGGAGAGGUGAGUGGAACUGCGAGUGUAGAGGUGAAAUUCGUAGAUAUUCGCAAGAACACCAGUGGCGAAGGCGGCUCACUGGCCCGAUACUGACGCUGAGGUGCGAAAGCGUGGGGAGCAAACAGG